rnacentral:rRNA from 1 species
UACGUAGGGUGCGAGCGUUAAUCGGAAUUACUGGGCGUAAAGGGCGCGUAGGCGGCGCGGUAAGUCACUUGUGAAAUCUCUGAGCUUAACUCAGAACGGCCAAGUGAUACUGCAGUGCUAGAGUGUGGAAGGGGCAAUCGGAAUUCUUGGUGUAGCGGUGAAAUGCGUAGAUAUCAAGAGGAACACCUGAGGUGAAGACGGGUUGCUGGGCCAACACUGACGCUGAGGCGCGAAAGCCAGGGGAGCAAACGGG